GAAGAUUAUGGUUGUGGCUUAUGAAGUUUUAGAGCAUCUUAAGGAGAUGGAAUUUGUGGAAGGCAAAGUUAGUUAAUAUUUGUGUGGAAAUAAAUAGAUAUCUUUCUGGCUAUUUUUUUUUUUUGGGAUCUUGUUAAUAAUUGUUGUAAUUCAAGAUAUUAUUGAAUAUAGUUAAAGUUUGAGCUAUUUGAUGUUGUUGUGAGAAUUUUUUGAGCUGUCUAAUGUUUUU
rnacentral:lncRNA from 1 species